rnacentral:rRNA from 1 species
GGUUAAGCGACUAAGCGUACACGGUGGAUGCCCUGGCAGUCAGAGGCGAUGAAGGACGUGCUAAUCUGCGAUAAGCGUCGGUAAGGUGAUAUGAACCGUUAUAACCGGCGAUUUCCGAAUGGGGAAACCCAGUGUGAUUCGUCACACUAUCAUUAACUGAAUCCAUAGGUUAAUGAGGCGAACCGGGGGAACUGAAACAUCUAAGUACCCCGAGGAAAAGAAAUCAACCGAGAUUCCCCCAGUAGCGGCGAGCGAACGGGGAGCAGCCCAGAGCCUGAAUCAGUGUGUGUGUUAGUGGAAGCGUCUGGAAAGGCGCGCGAUACAGGGUGACAGCCCCGUACACAAAAAUGCACAUGCUGUGAGCUCGAUGAGUAGGGCGGGACACGUGGUAUCCUGUCUGAAUAUGGGGGGACCAUCCUCCAAGGCUAAAUACUCCUGACUGACCGAUAGUGAACCAGUACCGUGAGGGAAAGGCGAAAAGAACCCCGGCGAGGGGAGUGAAAAAGAACCUGAAACCGUGUACGUACAAGCAGUGGGAGCACGCUUAGGCGUGUGACUGCGUACCUUUUGUAUAAUGGGUCAGCGACUUAUAUUCUGUAGCAAGGUUAACCGAAUAGGGGAGCCGAAGGGAAACCGAGUCUUAACUGGGCGUUAAGUUGCAGGGUAUAGACCCGAAACCCGGUGAUCUAGCCAUGGGCAGGUUGAAGGUUGGGUAACACUAACUGGAGGACCGAACCGACUAAUGUUGAAAAAUUAGCGGAUGACUUGUGGCUGGGGGUGAAAGGCCAAUCAAACCGGGAGAUAGCUGGUUCUCCCCGAAAGCUAUUUAGGUAGCGCCUCGUGAAUUCAUCUCCGGGGGUAGAGCACUGUUUCGGCAAGGGGGUCAUCCCGACUUACCAACCCGAUGCAAACUGCGAAUACCGGAGAAUGUUAUCACGGGAGACACACGGCGGGUGCUAACGUCCGUCGUGAAGAGGGAAACAACCCAGACCGCCAGCUAAGGUCCCAAAGUCAUGGUUAAGUGGGAAACGAUGUGGGAAGGCCCAGACAGCCAGGAUGUUGGCUUAGAAGCAGCCAUCAUUUAAAGAAAGCGUAAUAGCUCACUGGUCGAGUCGGCCUGCGCGGAAGAUGUAACGGGGCUAAACCAUGCACCGAAGCUGCGGCAGCGACACUAUGUGUUGUUGGGUAGGGGAGCGUUCUGUAAGCCUGUGAAGGUGUACUGUGAGGUAUGCUGGAGGUAUCAGAAGUGCGAAUGCUGACAUAAGUAACGAUAAAGCGGGUGAAAAGCCCGCUCGCCGGAAGACCAAGGGUUCCUGUCCAACGUUAAUCGGGGCAGGGUGAGUCGACCCCUAAGGCGAGGCCGAAAGGCGUAGUCGAUGGGAAACAGGUUAAUAUUCCUGUACUUGGUGUUACUGCGAAGGGGGACGGAGAAGGCUAUGUUGGCCGGGCGACGGUUGUCCCGGUUUAAGCGUGUAGGCUGGUUUUCCAGGCAAAUCCGGAAAAUCAAGGCUGAGGCGUGAUGACGAGGCACUACGGUGCUGAAGCAACAAAUGCCCUGCUUCCAGGAAAAGCCUCUAAGCAUCAGGUAACAUCAAAUCGUACCCCAAACCGACACAGGUGGUCAGGUAGAGAAUACCAAGGCGCUUGAGAGAACUCGGGUGAAGGAACUAGGCAAAAUGGUGCCGUAACUUCGGGAGAAGGCACGCUGAUAUGUAGGUGAAGUCCCUCGCGGAUGGAGCUGAAAUCAGUCGAAGAUACCAGCUGGCUGCAACUGUUUAUUAAAAACACAGCACUGUGCAAACACGAAAGUGGACGUAUACGGUGUGACGCCUGCCCGGUGCCGGAAGGUUAAUUGAUGGGGUCAGCGCAAGCGAAGCUCUUGAUCGAAGCCCCGGUAAACGGCGGCCGUAACUAUAACGGUCCUAAGGUAGCGAAAUUCCUUGUCGGGUAAGUUCCGACCUGCACGAAUGGCGUAAUGAUGGCCAGGCUGUCUCCACCCGAGACUCAGUGAAAUUGAACUCGCUGUGAAGAUGCAGUGUACCCGCGGCAAGACGGAAAGACCCCGUGAACCUUUACUAUAGCUUGACACUGAACAUUGAGCCUUGAUGUGUAGGAUAGGUGGGAGGCUUUGAAGUGUGGACGCCAGUCUGCAUGGAGCCGACCUUGAAAUACCACCCUUUAAUGUUUGAUGUUCUAACGUUGACCCGUGAUCCGGGUUGCGGACAGUGUCUGGUGGGUAGUUUGACUGGGGCGGUCUCCUCCUAAAGAGUAACGGAGGAGCACGAAGGUUGGCUAAUCCUGGUCGGACAUCAGGAGGUUAGUGCAAUGGCAUAAGCCAGCUUGACUGCGAGCGUGACGGCGCGAGCAGGUGCGAAAGCAGGUCAUAGUGAUCCGGUGGUUCUGAAUGGAAGGGCCAUCGCUCAACGGAUAAAAGGUACUCCGGGGAUAACAGGCUGAUACCGCCCAAGAGUUCAUAUCGACGGCGGUGUUUGGCACCUCGAUGUCGGCUCAUCACAUCCUGGGGCUGAAGUAGGUCCCAAGGGUAUGGCUGUUCGCCAUUUAAAGUGGUACGCGAGCUGGGUUUAGAACGUCGUGAGACAGUUCGGUCCCUAUCUGCCGUGGGCGCUGGAGAACUGAGGGGGGCUGCUCCUAGUACGAGAGGACCGGAGUGGACGCAUCACUGGUGUUCGGGUUGUCAUGCCAAUGGCACUGCCCGGUAGCUAAAUGCGGAAGAGAUAAGUGCUGAAAGCAUCUAAGCACGAAACUUGCCCCGAGAUGAGUUCUCCCUGACUCCUUGAGAGUCCUGAAGGAACGUUGAAGACGACGACGUUGAUAGGCCGGGUGUGUAAGCGCAGCGAUGCGUUGAGCUAACCGGUACUAAUGAACCGUGAGGCUUAACCUU